rnacentral:rRNA from 1 species
GUCCACGCCGUAAACGUUGUGCACUAGGUGUGGGAGGUAUCGACCCCUCCCGUGCCGUAGCUAACGCAUUAAGUGCACCGCCUGGGGAGUACGCCCGCAAGGGUGAAACUCAAAGGAAUUGACGGGGGCCCGCACAAGCGGUGGAGCAUGUGGUUUAAUUCGAGGCAACGCGAAGAACCUUACCCAGACUUGACAUCCCAAGUAAAGCCAUGGAAACAUGGCCUUCCUCUUCGGAGGCUUGGUGACAGGUGUUGCAUGGCUGUCGU